CCUACGGGCGGCAGCAGUGAGGAAUAUUGGUCAAUGGACGGGAGUCUGAACCAGCCAUGCCGCGUGCGGGAGGAAGGUACUGUGAAUUGUAAACCGCUUUUGUAAGAGAAUAAACACAGGUACGCGUAUCUGGCUGAGAGUAUCUUACGAAAAAGGAUCGGCUAACUCCGUGCCAGCAGCCGCGGUAAUACGGAGGAUUCGAGCGUUAUCCGGAUUUAGUGGGGUUAAAGGGUGCGUAGGCGGUCGGUUAAGUUAGAGGUGAAAUCCCGGGGCUCAACCUCGGACCGGCCGUUGAUACUGUCAGGCUAGAGAGGAGUAGAGGUAGGCGGAAUGUACGGUGUAGCGGUGAAAUGCUUAGAUAUCACACAGAACACCGAUUGCGAAGGCAGCUUACCAAGU
rnacentral:rRNA from 1 species